CAGAGGGUGCAAGCGUUAAUCGGAAUUACUGGGCGUAAAGCGAGCGUAGGUGGCUUGAUAAGUCAGAUGUGAAAGCCCCGGGCUUAACCUGGGAACGGCAUCUGAUACUGUUAGGCUAGAGUAGGUGAGAGGAAGGUAGAAUUCCAGGUGUAGCGGUGAAAUGCGUAGAGAUCUGGAGGAAUACCGAUGGCGAAGGCAGCCUUCUGGCAUCAUACUGACACUGAGGUUCGAAAGCGUGGGUAGCAAACAGGAUUAGAUACCCUGGUAGUCCACGCCGUAAACGAUGUCUACUAGUCGUUGGGUCCCUUGAGGACUUAGUGACGCAGCUAACGCAAUAAGUAGACCGCCUGGGGAGUACGGCCGCAAGGUUAAAACUCAAAUG
rnacentral:rRNA from 1 species